AAAAUUUUAAGUUAAAUAAACUAUAAAUCUUCAAAAUUUAAAAUAAAUUUUUAUUUAAAUUUUA
rnacentral:tRNA from 1 species